rnacentral:tRNA from 1 species
GAGGGUAUAGCUCAGUGGUAGAGUGCAUGCUUAGCAUCCAUGAGGUCCUCGGUUCAAUCCACAGUACCUCCG